GCUUGGCUUGAGCAUACGCUGAGUCCGUGUCUUUCAGUCCACCACAAAUGGCACCCGAACAGGGCUCUUAACAAUACCGGUGGCAGCUCCGUAACCGAACUAAAGAAGGACAGCAAAUUCUGACUUCAGAAUCCUAAGACGCGUGCACAGUUCUUCCUGUUGUAUAGGUCCUCAGUGGUUACCUGCUCAACACGUGAAGACAUACCAUGAGUUGGAAAGAAGUGGUAAACAACCCAGUGCCUCAGAUAACCAACCUGCAAAUUCAGAAGAAACCGGUGAAAAGGAAGCGGACGGCACAGAACAUCACAUGGGGGGACCUGAAGAAACUGGAUGAAGACGCAAGUAAAAUGAUGCAGCACAUUGGAGCAGAACCAAACCCUGUUAAUACCUUUUUGGCAUAUCUAGCCAUAGUGGCUAGCAACUCCAAGGUAAAAUGGGGAAAUUAGGUGUUUUUAAUGACUCUGCUAAUGAUCUUAUGGCCAGUUCAAGGUAAUGUAUACUGGGCACACAUAGCAGAUCCACUGUUGUUUAGGCCUGCUACUUGGUGGGAUCCAGAUCAUCCAAUUUCAAAGAACACCACACAGUGGGCUGGUGGGGUAUGGCUACCACUAUCGGGCCCGUUAUCAAAUCUUAAUGACUGGUUGAUGAUUAAUGAUACACAUGAGUUUCGAACAGAGUUACCUCCUAUGUGCUUUACUAGUAACAAUGAAUCAGAAGGAUGUGUACAAGUUCAGGGAACAAUGGCAUUUAGUUGCUAAAAAGGGGAAUUUAACAUUUUUUACCUUACCGGGUAUGCAGUCAAGUAUACAAGGAGCCUUUUCUGUAAAUGUUGCUGCUGAAGUUGAGAGUCUCAGCGAUAGUCUAACACAAUAAUUGAAACAAUUACAAAUUCUUACCCAAAAAAGUCUAAUGGAUGAUUUGGCUGACAGUGUAAAAUGGCUAAACCCUUCACCAUGGUUUUCUGGACUAAACUUAAGAAUUUGGAUAUUUGUUGGUAAUGGUAUUCUUGCUGUAAUAAUAAUGAUUUUUAUAGUCUUGCAGUUCCUAUGGAGAAUCACAAGAAGCUUGCAAAAAACGGAAGCAAGAGUGAUGGCGGCGCUGAUCACGUGACUGGCAAACAAAGAAGGGGGAAAUCUGGAGAGAACUUGCGAAACAUUGCAUGACCCAACGAAUGUAACUGUAUCUUUAAGAGCUUUAGCAAGAAGCAAAAAAAAGCAUAAAUAGUAUCUUGACAGGUCUUGACCAGCCUUUAUCAGGAGUUCAAAGCACAGCUGUGUGGGGGUGUGAAACAGGAAUGUGUGAUAGUGGUGGUCAAUUUAUGACUUGCUUAUGGAACACCAGAACAGGUCAGGUGACCCUUUGUCACAGAACACUGGGGCAGCGUUCGUAGUUUAAGGAAGAGUGUUCGCUGAGUACAUGAACACCCUUUUUGGCUGCAUAGUCAAGUUCCUGAAAUGUAACUAUAAAAGCAAGGCAGUGAAACAAAUAAACCGCUUGGCUUGAGCAUA
rnacentral:lncRNA from 1 species